rnacentral:rRNA from 1 species
AUACGUAGGUGGCAAGCGUUGUCCGGAAUUAUUGGGCGUAAAGCGCGCGCAGGUGAUUCCUUAAGUCUGAUGUGAAAGCCCCCGGCUCAACCGGGGAGGGUCAUUGGAAACUGGGGAACUUGAGUGCAGAAGAGGAUAGUGGAAUUCCAAGUGUAGCGGUGAAAUGCGUAGAGAUUUGGAGGAACACCAGUGGCGAAGGCGACUGUCUGGUCUGUAACUGACACUGAGGCGCGAAAGCGUGGGGAGCAAACAGGAUUAGAUACCCUGGUAGUCCACGCCGUAAACGAUGAGUGCUAAGUGUUGGGGGGUUUCCGCCCCUCAGUGCUGCAGCUAACGCAUUAAGCACUCCGCCUGGGGAGUACGGUCGCAAGACUGAAACUCAAAGGAAUUGACGGGG